rnacentral:rRNA from 1 species
UACGUAGGGAGCAAGCGUUGUCCGGAAUCAUUGGGCGUAAAGCGCGCGUAGGUGGCCACAUAAGUCCGUUGUGAAAGUCAAAGGCUCAACCUUUGAAAGCCGAUGGAUACUGUGUGGCUAGAGUACGGAAGAGGCGAGUGGAAUUCCUGGUGUAGCGGUGAAAUGCGCAGAUAUCAGGAGGAACACCGAUGGCGAAGGCAGGUCUCUGGGCAUUAACUGACGCUGAGGAGCGAAAGCAUGGGGAGCGAACAGG